rnacentral:lncRNA from 1 species
GUAUCUAGUGUAUAUAAAAAACACUGUUCAAACAAGAACAUAUCUGACUUUUACUACACGAGUUGACUCAUCUUUAUGCCCUUCAGACAUGUAAAAGCCAUGAAAAUGCAGAAGGAAUCACAAUUAACACAAAUCUUGGUGAUAAAAUUAUCAUUAUCACUAUGUAAUACAUGUACCAACUUUUUGAGUCCAACAUGCCUAAGCAAUGAUUAUUAUGAUUUAUUAGGCUGAAAACUCGAUGAACUAUCGAUAAUCUUCCACGUAUCGCCUGUUUAAACCACCUAAUAAUGAUUCAAUGGUGUCCCCAUGAAUAUAUAGGGAAGGAGAACAUGCACCACCUGCAGCAAACAUUACCUUCACCACUCUUUUUUCCUGCAAUUUUCUACUAGUAUGACCUUUUGGUGGGAUGCUUCUUUCCAUUGUCAGCCUUUCCCAAAGGAGAAUGUUAUGAUAACAUUGUCUAUAUAUUUUUGUAAAAAAAACAGAAGGAAAAAAAAAGAAAAAAAGAAAAGGGUUCUUUAUCAUUUCAUUUGUUUUUAUUUAUAUAUCAGAUCUGUUUACUUUCUCUAAUUAAAGUUAUCACUAGUGGGCAUUAGCUGCCACAAACUUCCCAUCAAAUGCUUCUCUUCUUGAGAUCAUAUUCUUCUUGAUUAACUUAAUUAAUCAGAUAUUCCCAUCAAAUGCUUCUCUUCUUGAGUCCAUUUCACUGAUCAUAAGAUAUUCCCGAAUGACAGGUCCUGUUGGGAUCAAUAUCCAUCAUCAUCAAAAAUCAGCGGUUAAGGACUUGAUAUGCCAUGCCAUCGACUUGAUAUGUCGUAUUACCUAAAUUAAUGUCGGUUAUGGAUAUCAAAUCACCAUUUUCAUAUCUAGAUAAUAACAAUUCGUACACGAUUUAGGAUAAACAUGAGCUGCUAAGAGGGUUCCAGUUCAUUGACAGCAACUCUUGCCACAAAGGGUGUUAACUUGUUUUGUGUAGUCAGCUUAGGUUUUGGGAGAAGUAGACUGCAUAAAGGUCUAACCUUUAAUUAGAGUUAAUCACAAUUUUAACAAAGUGAUUAUGCUUGGUGCCAGAACAAACUAUGACAAACACAAAAAAUCAACAACGAAAAUAGAAGACAACAACACGAUUUACGUGAAAAGAUCAAAUAGGAAAAACCACGACCGAGAGCAAUAAGAUAUUGAUAUAUCAAAGUGUGAAGAGUGCAAGUUGUGAAUUUCUAUAAAAAAAGGGCUAGAAAAUUGAGAAGGAUAAGAAC